AGGCUGAGCAGUGCUAUUUUUAGGGUUGUGAUGUGCCUUCUCUUAAGUCUUGGAUAACAGUUAGUGAACAAAUGAUUAGCAAAGUACUUGACAGCUUUUAUCUGCUCUGGACUCUUCUGAUGUCAGAGUUUCCAAAACACGAGUGGUAGAUACACAUCUAGCAGUUACAAGGCUGGGCCUGGCAGAGGAGCAGGAAGUUAAAAGUGCAAGGAGAUUAGCAAAAGCUGUUUCUUCAGAGGCUCUGUUCAGCAGGACCAGUUGUGUGAGUGCUCCCUUUGGCACCACUUCGUCUUGAGCCCUGGGUGAGUUCCUUACACCUAUUUCUACGAAGGUUGGUUGGGAGCAGAGGAGAGG
rnacentral:lncRNA from 1 species